rnacentral:rRNA from 1 species
GUGGGGAAUAUUUGACAAUGGGCGAAAGCCUGAUCCAGCCAUGCCGCGUGUGUGAAGAAGGUCUUCGGAUUGUAAAGCACUUUAAGUUGGGAGGAAGGGCAGUAAGUUAAUACCUUGCUGUUUUGACGUUACCGACAGAAUAAGCACCGGCUAACUUCGUGCCAGCAGCCGCGGUAAUACGAAGGGUGCAAGCGUUAAUCGGAAUUACUGGGCGUAAAGCGCGCGUAGGUGGUUUUGUAAGUUGGAGGUGAAAUCCCCGGGCUCAACCUGGGAACUGCCUCCAAAACUGCAUGACUAGAGUACGGUAGAGGGUAGUGGAAUUUCCUGUGUAGCGGUGAAAUGCGUAGAUAUAGGAAGGAACACCAGUGGCGAAGGCGACUACCUGGACUGAUACUGACACUGAGGUGCGAAAGCGUGGGGAGCAAACAGGAUUAGAAACCCUAGUAGUCC